GGCAUGCAAGUCGAACGGGAAAGUCCCCUUCGGGGGGUGAGUAGAGUGGCGAACGGGUGAGUAACGCGUGGGAAAUUUGCCCUGCAGUGGGGAAUAACAGUCCUAACGGGCUGCUAAUACCGCAUGUGACCUCUUGACCGCCUGGUCGAGAGGUGAAAGGUGGCCUCUCCUUGGAAGCUGCCGCUGAAGGAUGGUCCCGCGUCCCAUUAGCUUGUUGGUGAGGUAACGGCUCACCAAGGCCGCGAUGGGUAGCCGGCCUUAGAGGGUGUCCGGCCACACUGGGACUGAGAUACGGCCCAGACUCCUACGGGAGGCAGCAGUCGAGAAGCUUCGGCAAUGGGCGCAAGUCUGACCGAGCGACGCCGCGUGAGCGAUGAAGGCCUUAUCGGUUGUAAAGCUCUGUCAGAUUGGGAAGAAAACCCAGGGGUUAAUACCCCCUGGGCCUGACGGUACCAUCAGAGGAAGCACCGGCUAACUCCGUGCCAGCAGCCGCGGUAAUACGGAGGGUGCAAGCGUUGUUCGGAUUUACUGGGUAUAAAGGGUGCGUAGGCCGGGUCGAUAAGUCAGAGGUGAAAUCUGCCGGCUCAACCGGCAAAUUGCCUCUGAAACUGUCCACCUUGAGUCCGGAAGAGGAAGGUGGAAUUCCUG
rnacentral:rRNA from 1 species